ensembl:snRNA U6 U6 spliceosomal RNA
GUGCUCGCUUUGGCAGCACAUGUACUAAAAUUGGAAUGAUACAGAGAAGAAUAGUAUGGCCCCUGCACAAGGAUGACACAAAUUCGUGAAGCAUUCAUUAAAAAA